UCCAGGGUAGCCUAGUGGACAUGGCAUCUGUCCGGUAAGCGUGCGAGUUCGAUUCCUAUCCCUGGAA